rnacentral:rRNA from 1 species
AGAGUUUGAUCCUGGCUCAGGAUGAACGCUGGCGGUAUGCUUAACACAUGCAAGUCGAACGAAAGUCUUCGGAUUUUAGUGGCGGACGGGUGAGUAACGCGUGAGGAUCUGCCUAUAGGUUGGGGACAACAGAUGGAAACGUCUGCUAAUACCCAAUGUGCCGAGAGGUGAAAGCUUAAGUGCCUGUAGAUGAGCUCGCGUCCGAUUAGCUAGUUGGUAGGGUAAAGGCUUACCAAGGCGACGAUCGGUAGCUGGUCUGAGAGGAUGAUCAGCCACACUGGGACUGAGACACGGCCCAGACUCCUACGGGAGGCAGCAGUGGGGAAUUUUCCGCAAUGGGCGAAAGCCUGACGGAGCAAUACCGCGUGCGGGACGAAGGCUUUUGGGUCGUAAACCGCUUUUGUUAGGGAAGAACACAAUGACGGUACCUGACGAAUCAGCAUCGGCUAACUCCGUGCCAGCAGCCGCGGUAAUACGGAGGAUGCAAGCGUUAUCCGGAAUUAUUGGGCGUAAAGCGUCCGCAGGUGGUUUAUCAAGUCUGCUGUUAAAUCGCAGGGCUUAACCCUGUAAAGGCAGUGGAAACUGAGAGACUAGAGUACGGUAGGGGUAGCGGGAAUUCCCAGUGUAGCGGUGAAAUGCGUAGAUUUGGGAAGAACACCAGCGGNGAAGGCGCGCUACUAGGCGAAAU